AGAGAGCUGGCUCAGUGGUUAAGAGCACUGACUGAUGUUCCAGAGGAUCCAGGUUCAAUUCCCAGGCCAUCCA
rfam:Neotoma lepida isolate 417 scaffold_52866, whole genome shotgun sequence.